rnacentral:tRNA from 1 species
GCGCCCUUAACUCAGCUGGUAGAGUAGCGGACUUUUAAUCCGAAUGUCUGGGGUUCGAGUCCCCAAGGGCGUACCA